rnacentral:rRNA from 1 species
GACGAACGCUGGCGGCGUGCUUAACACAUGCAAGUCGAACGAUGAAGCCGGAGCUUGCUCUGGUGAAUUAGUGGCGAACGGGUGAGUAACACGUGAGUAACCUGCCCUUGACUCCGGGAUAACUGCUAGAAAUGGUAGCUAAUACCGGAUACGACCCUCGGAGGCAUCUCCAGGGGGUGGAAAGAAUUUCGGUCAAGGAUGGACUCGCGGCCUAUCAGCUAGUUGGUGAGGUAAUGGCUCACCAAGGCGACGACGGGUAGCCGGCCUGAGAGGGUGACCGGCCACACUGGGACUGAGACACGGCCCAGACUCCUACGGGAAGCAGCAGUGGGGAAUAUUGCACAAUGGGCGCAGGCCUGAUGCAGCAACGCCGCGUGAGGGAUGACGGCCUUCGGGUUGUAAACCUCUUUUAGUAGGGAAGAAGCGAAAGUGACGGUACCUGCAGAAAAAGCACCGGCUAACUACGUGCCAGCAGCCGCCGCCG